GAUGAACGCUGGCGGCGUGCCUAAUACAUGCAAGUCGAGCGAACAGAUGAGGAGCUUGCUCCUCUGACGUUAGCGGCGAACGGGUGAGUAACACGUGGAUAACCUACCUAUAAGACUGGGAUAACUUCGGGAAACCGGAGCUAAUACCGGAUAAUAUAUUGAACCGCAUGGUUCAAUAGUGAAAGACGGUUUUGCUGUCACUUAUAGAUGGAUCCGCGCCGCAUUAGCUAGUUGGUAAGGUAACGGCUUACCAAGGCAACGAUGCGUAGCCGACCUGAGAGGGUGAUCGGCCACACUGGAACUGAGACACGGUCCAGACUCCUACGGGAGGCAGCAGUAGGGAAUCUUCCGCAAUGGGCGAAAGCCUGACGGAGCAACGCCGCGUGAGUGAUGAAGGUCUUCGGAUCGUAAAACUCUGUUAUUAGGGAAGAACAAAUGUGUAAGUAACUAUGCACGUCUUGACGGUACCUAAUCAGAAAGCCACGGCUAACUACGU
rnacentral:rRNA from 1 species